CAAAAGGCCAUAUGCACAGGAGGAGGAAGAACGGAAGAGAGAGAGAGCAUGGAGGGGGAAGAGUACAUACAUACCUAAGGACGACGGUUGCGGAGGGCCAGUUAUUGACUUUGAUGGAAAGGUUGUGGGGAUGUUCAACGGUUGUAGAAGAGGGCCUUUUGUUCCUUCUUCUGUUUUGAAUGGGUGCAUGGAUUUGUGGAGGAAUUUUGGGUGCAUCCUUCGGCCCCACCUUGGGUUGCAAUUUGAGGCCAUCAAGUUUCUAGAUCCCACUCGUGGUGAGUACAUAUGGCGGAAGUUAAACAUUGAUGACGGUCUUGUUGUUGAAGAGAUGUCAGCAGGAUCCCAUGCUGAGAAAAUUGAAAUCCGAGUAGGUGAUAUUAUUGAUUGCAUUAAUGGAGAACGCAUCUCUACGACACUUGAG